UUAGACCUCGGAUCAGGUAGGAAUACCCGUGAACUUCCAAUAUUACCAAAAAAAUU
rnacentral:rRNA from 1 species